rnacentral:rRNA from 1 species
AACGAACGCUGGCGGCAGGCCUAACACAUGCAAGUCGAACGCCCUAGCAAUAGGGAGUGGCAGACGGGUGAGUAACGCGUGGGAACCUUCCCAUUGGUACGGAAUAGCCCAGGGAAACUUGGAAUAAUACCGUAUAAGCCCGAAAGGGGAAAGAUUUAUCGCCGAUGGAUGGGCCCGCGUAGGAUUAGCUAGUUGGUGAGGUAAUGGCUCACCAAGACGACGAUCCUUAGCUGGUCUGAGAGGACGAUCAGCCACACUGGGACUGAGACACGGCCCAGACUCCUACGGGAGGCAGCAGUGGGGAAUAUUGGACAAUGGGCGCAAGCCUGAUCCAGCCAUGCCGCGUGAGUGACGAAGGCCUUAGGGUUGUAAAGCUCUUUUGGCGGGGACGAUAAUGACGGUACCCGCAGAAUAAGCCCCGGCUAACUUCGUGCCAGCAGCCGCCGCGG